AUGGGCGCAAGCCUGACCCAGCGACGCCGCGUGAGGGAAGACAGCCUUCGGGUUGUAAACCUCUGUUGCAGGGAAGAAGGAAGUGACGGUACCCUGCGAGGAAGCUCCGGCUAACUACGUGCCAGCAGCCGCGGUAAUACGUAGGGAGCGAGCGUUGUCCGGAAUUACUGGGCGUAAAGGGCGCGUAGGCGGCGCUUCAAGUCGUCUGUCAAAAGCCGAGGCUCAACCUCGGUGCGCAGACGAAACUGGAGAGCUUGAGAAGCAGAGAGGCAAACAGAAUUCCUGGUGUAGCGGUGAAAUGCGUAGAUAUCAGGAAGAAUACCAGUGGCGAAGGCGGUUUGCUGGCUGCAUACUGACGCUGAAGCGCGAAAGCCAGGGGAGCAAACGGGAUUAGAUACCCCGGUAGUCCUGGCAGUAAACGAUGUAUGCUGGGUGGGGGACUAGCGAUAGUUCCGUGCCGAAGUUAACGCGAUAAGCAUACCGCCAGGGGAGUACGGUCGCAAGAUUGAAACUCAAAGGAAUUGACGGGGGCCCGCACAAGCGGUGGAGCACGUGGUUUAAUUCGAUGCAACCGAAGAACCU
rnacentral:rRNA from 1 species